rnacentral:rRNA from 1 species
UCGAACGAGAACGGGUUAAAGUUUACUUUAACUGUCAGCUAAGUGGCGCACGGGUGAGUAAUGUAUAGUUAACCUGCCCUCGAGAAAGGAAUAACAGUUGGAAACGACUGCUAAUGCCCUAUAUGCCUUUAAGACAUAAGUCUACAAGGGAAAUGCUUUUGUGCUCGAGGAUGGGACUGUAUGGUAUCAGAUAGUUGGUGAGGUAAUGGCUCACCAAGUCAAUGACGCCUAACUGGUUUGAGAGGAUGAUCAGUCACACUGGAACUGAGACACGGUCCAGACUCCUACGGGAGGCAGCAGUGGGGAAUAUUGCACAAUGGAGGAAACUCUGAUGCAGCAACGCCGCGUGGAGGAUGACACUUUUCGGAGCGUAAACUCCUUUUAUAUAGGAAGAUAAUGACGGUACUAUAUGAAUAAGCGCCGGCUAACUCCGUGCCAGCAGCCGCGGUAAUACGGAGGGCGCAAGCGUUACUCGGAAUCACUGGGCGUAAAGAGCGUGUAGGCGGAUAGAUAAGUCAGAAGUGAAAUCCUAUAGCUCAACUAUAGAACUGCUUUUGAAACUGUCUAUCUAGAAUAUGGGAGAGGUAGAUGGAAUUUCUGGUGUAGGGGUAAAAUCCGUAGAGAUCAGAAGGAAUACCGAUU